GUUUCGUUAAAGUAGAGAUAGUUCUAAAUUUUUAUCUAAAGCUGACCCUCACGACACGAACCGAUAAGAUGGCGCUGUCCUCCCAGAGUGAUAGGUGGAAGUUUUAUAUCCGUAAUUUAAAACCUUUUUAUGAUAAGAAAAUCUAAUGUGAAGUUGGCGGAGUCAACGUCAUAUUCACAUUUAAAAUGUAAUCAAUUUAAAAGAAUAAUUUGAGUUGAUAGAUAAGAAUUUUUGGAGUGGCAUCUGACGCUCGUUGUUCGCACUGGCCCUUAAUUGGACCACUUUACAUAAUCGAGUGAAGGUAAUGGACAGUGACUAAUUGUACGACUCAAAGUUCUCAGAAGUCAACUUUGGAGCGUGAGACCACUAGCCGAGAUAUACCGGGGCUUCAUCGGUAUAAGACCUGUCGUAUACGUCAUGCCGAUAGAUGGCGUUCAACUAAAGAAGUCCCGCCAUUUUUUUUCAACGAAUAAUUCCAAAAUCACUUCCCACACUUUACCCUCUGCCGAUAAUUCUGAAAAGUUUGUGGCUGCCCUAAUAUGAACAUAAUACGAUUAUGAGUUUUUGAAUUGCAACACUUUUCGAAGUUUCAGUCCAGGCAGGCAAAGCCGCAGAGCUCUGGUCCAGGAGUUAGUUCCAACUUCUAAGCGACGACCGAACGUGUGAGAAAUUGGGUGGCAAUGGUUUAUUCCAGUCUUCCGGAGGAUUAUCUCGAUGUUUCCAAACAUCGUUGUAAUAGUGCGGAGCCAAUCUUUCGUAGCGUCGCUUCGAUUCACUUUUAAUGACUUGUUCCUGUGAGAAUAAAGAUAAUUUUUAAUUGUAA